CGAUGUGGUCGGUCAGGUGCAGGUAGGUAGGGCGGGGCUCGGUGCCGGUGAUCGAAUAAAGUUGUGGAGUAAAGCUAAGUUGCCGGAGAGGAGAAAGAUGGUGAUUGGUUUUAUUCGCGAACAGGAAGAGGAGGCAAGGCGGGUAACUGCGACGUCACAUGGUGUGCAAGGGCGAUGUUUGGCUUGGGAGCAUGUGGAGAAGCGGAAGAUCAGCUGGCGUGAUCUGUGGGCGAUGGACGCCGGUCGUAUUAAGUUUCUCAUCGGAGCCACCUACGAUGUUCUUCCUACUCCGCAGAAUCUUAAUCGCUGGGUAGGUACAGAGCCGACUUGCAGCUUGUGCGGUGGUAUAGCCUCUUUGAGGCACAUUCUAUCUGCAUGUAAGGUUAGUUUAUCUCAGGGAAGAUAUACUUGGAGGCAUAAUGAAGUGUUAAGAUCCUUGGCAUGCUUGUUGGAGAACAAGCGGGUUGAAGUUAAUUCACUCCCGCAGUAUGGAAGAAAUAAGCUUAUUUCUUUUGUGCGGGAGGGGGAGAGUGCUAUAAGUCACGCGCGUGGUCGUGGUGAUACGAGUUUUAAAUGGGGGGAGGUGCGUGACUGGAAGUUGGUGGUGGACGCGGGAAAACAACUGCAGAUGCCGCAGUGCAUUGCGAUCACGGCGUUGAGACCCGAUAUUGUGCUGUACUCCGAGGGCGCACGGAUAGUGUACUUCAUUGAAUUAACAAUACCCUUCGAAGACUCAUUGGAAGAUGCCUUUGAGAGGAAGAAAUUGAAGUACACUGAGUUGGCUGGUGAGGUGAGGGAGCGAGGCUGGCAGUGCGUUAUUAGACCAGUGGAGAUCGGUACUAGAGGGUUUGUUGCAAAAUCAACCACGUCGCUACUGUUGGAGUUUGGUUUUAGGGGUCAGUCGUUAAGAGCAGCCGUAAAGGCUUGUCAGAGGUAGCAGAAAGAUCCAGUCAGUGGUUGUGGAUGAGAAGGCACCAGGGUGUUUGGGGGAAGCACACUUGAGUGGGGAGUACUCGCCUAGGUGAACAUCAAUGGUUUGAGUUUUGUUGUCACCUCCAUAUGCUGAUGUGGUGUAUUGGUUGGUUGUUGGUGGUUGGGGUGGGUUUUUUGUGGGUGGAGUCGCUGGGAUGGCACUGUGG
rnacentral:lncRNA from 1 species